CGGCAUGCUUAACACAUGCAAGUCGAACGGUAACAGGCUAAGCUUGCUUAGUGCUGACGAGUGGCGGACGGGUGAGUAACGCGUGGGAACAUGCCUAUUAGUUGGGGACAACCUGUGGAAACGCAGGCUAAUACCGAAUACGUUUUCAGGAAUAAAGGUGGCCUCUACUUGUAUGCUAUCGCUAAUAGAUUGGCCCGCGUUGGAUUAGCUUGUUGGUGGGGUAAAGGCCUACCAAGGCGACGAUCCAUAGCUGGUUUGAGAGGAUGAUCAGCCACACUGGGACUGAGACACGGCCCAGACUCCUACGGGAGGCAGCAGUGGGGAAUAUUGGACAAUGGGCGCAAGCCUGAUCCAGCAAUGCCGCGUGUGUGAAGAAGGCCUGAGGGUUGUAAAGCACUUUCAAUUGUGAAGAAGGGUUUAGGUUUAAUAUGCCUGAACAUUGACGUUAACAAUAGAAGAAGCACCGGCUAACUCUGUGCCAGCAGCCGCGGUAAUACAGAGGGUGCAAGCGUUAAUCGGAAUUACUGGGCGUAAAGCGCGCGUAGGUGGUUUGAUAAGUUGGAUGUGAAAUCCCCGGGCUUAACCUGGGUCGGUCAUUCAAAACUGUCAGACUAGAGUAUGGUAGAGGGUAGUGGAAUUUCUAGUGUAGCGGUGAAAUGCGUAGAUAUUAGAAGGAACACCAGUGGCGAAGGCGACUGCCUGGACUGAUACUGACACUGAGGUGCGAAAGCGUGGGUAGCGAACAGGAUUAGAUACCCUGGUAGUCCACGCCGUAAACGAUGACAACUAGACGUUGGUUC
rnacentral:rRNA from 1 species